rnacentral:rRNA from 1 species
AACUGUAGAAGUGUUUUCCAGACACGCCUGGUAAAAAAGUCCUUUGGAACAGGGCAUCAUAGAGGGUGAGAAUCCCGUCAUUGGCCAGAGCUGUUGUCUUUUGUGAUACAUUUUCAAAGAGUCAGGUUGUUUGGGAAUGCAGCCUAAAUUGGGUGGUAAAUCUCACCUAAAGCUAAAUAUUUGCGAGAGACCGAUAGCGAACAAGUACCGUGAGGGAAAGAUGAAAAGAACUUUGAAAAGAGAGUUAAACAGUAUGUGAAAUUGUUAAAAGGGAACCGUUUGGAGCCAGACUGGCUUAAUCGUAAUCACUCUAGGCUUUGGCCUGGAUGCACUUGCGGUUUAUGCCGGCCAACGACAGUUUUGUUUGAGGGAAAAAAUUACAUUGAAUGUGGCCCCUCGGGGUGUUAUAGCUUUGUAAAAAAUACCUUGGACGGGACUGAGGAACGCAGUGAAUGCCUUUAGGCGAAAUUGCUGGGUGCUUGCGCUGAUACAUGCUAGAAUUUCUGCUUCGGGUGGUGCUAGUGUUUAAAGGAGUAACCCGCUUAGUAUAUUUUUUAUUCGCUUAGGUUGUUGGCUUAAUGACUCUAAAUGACCCGUCUUGAAACACGGACCAAGGAGUCCACCAUUAGUGCAAGUAUUUGGGUGACAAACCCAUAUGCGCAAGGAAACUGAUUGAUACGAAGGCGCAAGCUGGCAGUAUCACCCGGGCGUUGACGUUUUAUACUGAACUGACCGAGGUAAAGCACUAAUGAUGGGACCCGAAAGAUGGUGAACUAUGCCUGAAUAGGGUGAAGCCGGAGGAAA